rnacentral:lncRNA from 1 species
CAUAAACAAGACUAACACAACAAUCACAUAUACCUAAAUAACACAUAGCAUCAAAAGCAUAAAAUGCCAAUGAAUCCGCCGCGGUCGGAUCAUCACUCUAUAGACACUACGUGCUACUUAGGCAAAUGUGAUAGUGACAAGGAAGCAGGAAAAGGAAACCUAUAGCUCUGAUACCAACUGACACGACCCACCCCGAAUUUCACCCUGAAACCCAGAGUAAGUCGUGCGGGGACCACCUCCAAGGAAAAUUUACUGAAAGAUUAAGAAAAUCUCCCUUGCAGAUGGACAACCCUAACUCGAAAAUUUCAUAUUACACUCUUAAUUUAACACUUCUGAACAUCACAUAAUAUACAAAAAUUACUAAAGUAUUCAGAGCUACUAAACACAAGCGGAAGCAAGAAAACACGAGUAGGUUGAACAGGUAACCUACUGGCGAAAACUGGCAGAAAUGCGGGUGACUAUGCCUCGUCUCCUACUAGAUCCAACCCGAACUCUGCAGACUGGGCAAUUUAAAACGAAGGCCCAGGGAAAACAUUUAAUAACGUUAGAGUGAGUGGACAAAAAUAAAAUAAUAAAUAAAAAUAUUUAAUGUUCCCCAAAAUUAAUUUCUAAGGAAAAAUCGAAUGCAUGCCGCAAGCGAUAAAACCUUUAUCCCAUAAAAUAUCGAGCCUACUCAGACUCUAUAAUAUAUGUAUGUAUUUACACUUGUCCAUAUCCCUAUAUAAAUUCAUGGGUCUAUAUAGGGCUACUACGCUCGCGUCCAACGCUCACGUCACGCCUUAAUGCGGUGCUACACUACGCCAUCAAGGUGGACAGACGGGUGUAUAAAUAUGUGCCCAUACCCCCUAUAUGAAUUAAACACUCAUAUAAGGCUACUACGCUUACGUCCAACGCUCACGUCACACCAUAAUGCGGCUAUAUGCUACGCCAUUAAGGUGGACAGACACAUAUGGCUAGCUAGCAUUUUUUUAUACAUACUCUCUCAUAUAUACAUAUUUAUAUUCACCGAAAAUCCCAUUUUCGGUAACUCUCCAAGAGAAAAUAAAAAU